rnacentral:lncRNA from 1 species
UCAUAAAUACUAACUCCAAAUCCGAUAGACAAUCAGGCAUCAGAGUCCAUCGAUAUAAAAUCCUGAUCAAAAAGUCCCAAACCAGUGGGACUCUUGACCCCGAUGCCCAAAAUGUGUGAAACUCAUGAUUAGAGAAUCCUGAUUCUUGAUCAUAGAGCUCUAGAUAUGUAGGACUCAAAGUUCACGAGCAUUAGGACUCUUCACCAGCCA